UUCCAUUUGAUCUCUGUGUAAAGAAAGAUUUAGUUCAAGCACCACAAGUCUUUCUUGACUCUUUUUUUGCUUGGUUGGUCUUUACUUUAGACUAAACUAAAAAAAAAGCAACUCUGAUUGGCUUUUUACUUAUUUUAAGCAAAAAAGUCGGAAAAAAAAACAAAAAAAAGCUGAAAAAAACUGGUGCCAAACGGAGCAAAUAUCACGACACAGAUAUUAAAAUAGCUCGAAAAAAAGUAGGAAGAUACUAACCUGCAAUGCCUAUAUAUUGUUCACGAGGAAUCUGGAAGGAUGGAACCCACAAGUAGCCCGCCCACAUCCGCGUGGGGUGACAGUUUUUACCAAAUAUACGAACUAUAGCGGUAACCUCGUAAGCAGCUUUCGCUGCACUCUUCAGUUAUCUCCUGUGGGAUUCCCGUUAAAAGUCGGGAAACAAAGCUUGAAAAAAACUGGUGCAAACGGAGCCUAAAUAUCACGACACAGAUAUUAAAAUAGCUCGAAGAAAAAAGUAGGAAGAUUACUAACCUGGCACUGCCUUAUAUAUGUUCACGAGAAUCUGGAGACUGAACCCACAAUGUAGCCCGCACAUCCGAGCUGGUGCCAGUUUUACCAAAUAUACGAACUAUAGGGUAACCUCGUAAGCAAGCUUUCGCUUGCCUGCACUCUUCCAAGUUAUUCUCCGGUUGAUCCGUUUCCAGCUCUGCGUUCGUCCUGAUGUAGAUGCAAGUACUUUUCCAGACAUUGGCAUGGACUUUCAUCCCCCAUGGAGUCGUUGUUUGUUGUAAAAAACAAUCUUCUGCCUAUUCCAGACCAAUUAUUAAGCCCAUUCCUCAAAAUCUCGGGUUUAAUAUGAUGUUCUCAUCUCCAGCAAGAAAGAAAACGUUUGCCUGUGCUCGUAACCUAUCAAAUCAGAACAGAAGAUCAUGCCAAAAAGCUAAAAGUUGUCCAAAUUAAAAGUAAUUAUCUUUUGGAAUUUUUUGCUUUUGUGGCUUUACUUAGCUAAAAUAAAACAAAAAAGCCAAAUCUUGAUUGGGUGUUGAGCUUUUUUACUUAUUUUAAAGACAAAAAAGUCGGAAAAGGAAAAAAAGCUUGAAUGUUGAAUGAAAUCGAAAAAAAAAACUGGUGCCAACGGAGCCAAAUAUCACGGACACAGAUGAUUAAAAUAGCUCGAAAAAAAGUAGGAAGCAGAUACUAACCUGGCAAUGCCUAUAUAUUGUUCACGAGGAAUUGGGAAGACUGAACCCACAAUGUAGCCCGCACAUCCGCGAUGCGGGUGACCAAUUUUACCAAAUAUACGAAACUAUAGCGUAACAUCGGUAAGCAAGCUUUCGCUUUUUUGCACUUUCCAGUUAUCUCCUUGUGGAUCCGUUCCAGCUCUGCGUUCGUUCUGAUGUAGAUGCAAAGUAGUAUCUGGCCGACAUGGCAUGACUUUUCCAUUCCCCCAUGGAGUCGUGUUAUAAAACAAUCUUACUGCCUCUUCCAGACCAAUUAUUAAGGCCAUCUAAAUCUCGGGUUUAAUAUGUGAUGUUCUCAUCUCACAGCACAGAAACGUCCUGUGCUCGUAAAAAUACCUAUCAAAUCAGACAGGAAGAUACAUGCCAACAGCUAAAAGGUUGUCCAUAAAAGUAAUUCUUCUGUUCACUGCAUAGAAACAAAAAAGGAGAGAACAACUCCUCUCAACCUUUCAAAAAUAGCAAAGUUGGUUAAAACCUCUAAGAUUGAGUUCGGAUUUAUAGAUUUAAAAUAAAUAAAUUGGCAUUACCUUUCCAAGAACUGUAAUCAGUUUUUGUAUUUAGGUCUACCCAUUUCAAAAACGUAAUUGAGAGCUUUAUAUUGAUAGAUUUGAAAUAUGUUUGUGACUACAGUCCUUUGAAUCCUUCCAUAAAUGAACAUAUGAAUUUUAAGAAAAUACAUCUUGACUUCUACUACUAUACUCUAGACCUGUCAUCUACUCCAAGUUAAACACUAACUAUUUGAUAAUUUGAACCUCAUGCGUUGAAUUAAAUUAUUCAUCCACUGGAGUAUAAUCCCUUAUUAUUCAUUUAAUCAAAAUAUGAUCCAUUUCGCUGGUUACUAUCAUCUCGCAUUCAAAUUACUCGAACAUAUUAGCAAACAGGUUAGAGAAUUAUCUUACAUCAUUUCACUGGUAUUAUUUGGGGACCUAUAUCGUUACGAACUCUAUCAGUAGGUCUACUCCAGGGGAAGGACCCUCAAAUAAAUACAAGCCGGUCCAGGCAAUUGGUGCAGUAAAAUUUCCUCCAAUGUUUCCAAUUGCCCAUUUAAACAAAUCCCUUCACAUGGUGAUUUUUCUUUAACAAAUCAUUUUUAGGAAUACAACAAAACCAUAAGUAAGAGAAAAACAAAUUUGAUUACUUUCCUCAAUGAACACAAAUCUCAGUGGGUGAGUCCCGAAUCCUAAUUUUCAAGUGCUAUGACAACAGCAGCGCUCUGGAGAUUGCCCGACAUCGCCUACACUAGCAGAAACGCAUAGGUGACCCCG
rnacentral:lncRNA from 1 species